rnacentral:sRNA from 1 species
UACCUCGCAUCGCGAGCGGCCGCCAACGC